GAAGGGUUUGAGGGGAUGUUGCAGUUGCAUCGUUUUUCUUUACGAUCUCAUUUCAUCCUCUUCAAACAUUUCGAGUUUUAGCUUUUGAUUCUGCUGCACCUUAUGUUCACCUGCAAGAUGUAGGAGUUUGGAUUCCUGUGGUCAUCAAGAAUUUACUUUCUGUGUAUCAAGUGAAGUGAUGACUACAUUUAAAAGAAGAGUGACCCCCACGAGGAUAAUGAGGACUGCCAGUGUAUUGAAGAGGUACCUUGAUGAUCAUCAGGAGUUGUUAAGCGAACAUCAUUUGAAGCAAGCAGUGAACUGAGAAGACAAGUAAACGUGAAAAGAGGGAUCUCAAAGCAGAGAAAGUUAGAAAAUGGAUUCUGUUGAAAAAAACUGCUUCCAUUUUGUGUUUUGAGUCAAGGUGGGAUGAUAUUUAUACACAAUGCUUAUGAGUAGUGGGAAAAGAUAACAGGACAAAAACAGGAGCAAAUUACUGCAAAUGAUGGAAUCGGUGUAGGAAACAGAAAAUACUUGAAAUCACAAUGGGUCAGGCAGCAUCUGUGGAGAGAGAGAGCAAGCUAAUAUUUCGAGUCCAGAUGACUUUUCAUCAGAGCUGACAUGAACUGUGGUAUUCAUCUUGUCAAUAAAUAUCAGUUUUCUUAUUGUUAUGAAACAUUUUCUUGUCUUGUUCCUUUUUAACAUGUUAAAAAGAUUUAUAUUCCAGAUGGGUUUUUGUUUGUGAUUUUGAGGAUUCAAACAUUUAAAUAUCAGCAGUCAGGUGAAGGAUAAAUCCUUCUUUCACAUUACCCACAACAUUUGCCUUAACACUGCUCAAAGGGAAGGAGUUUGAGAUCCCGCUUUGGUCAGGAAGACGGCGGGGAGCCUAGCCAACAUGCUGAUUUCCUGAAUUCCCCAUUCCGAAUGUCAACUAUUUUAAUUAAUACAGGCACAUGUCGCACCCUUCAAGCCACCUGCUCCACAUUUUUGGGCAGAUGACUGUGCUUGU